GCAGGCCUAACAGGUGCAAGUCGAACGCCCCUUCGGGGGAGUGGCGGACGGGUGAGUAACGCGUGGGAAUGUGCCCUUUGGUACGGAACAACUGAGGGAAACUUCAGCUAAUACCGUAUGUGCCCUUCGGGGGAAAGAUUUAUCGCCAUUGGAGCAGCCCGCGUUGGAUUAGGUAGUUGGUGGGGUAAAGGCCUACCAAGCCUACGAUCCAUAGCUGGUCUGAGAGGAUGAUCAGCCACACUGGGACUGAGACACGGCCCAGACUCCUACGGGAGGCAGCAGUGGGGAAUCUUGCGCAAUGGGCGAAAGCCUGACGCAGCCAUGCCGCGUGUAUGAUGAAGGUCUUAGGAUUGUAAAAUACUUNCACCGGGGAAGAUAAUGACGGUACCCGGAGAAGAAGCCCCGGCUAACUUCGUGCCAGCAGCCGCGGUAAUACGAAGGGGGCUAGCGUUGCUCGGAAUUACUGGGCGUAAAGGGCGCGUAGGCGGAUAGUUUAGUC
rnacentral:rRNA from 1 species